rnacentral:rRNA from 1 species
CGGCGGACGGGUGAGUAACACGUGGAUAACCUACCUAUAAGACUGGAUAACUUCGGGAAACCGGAGCUAAUACCGGAUAAUAUAUUGAACCGCAUGGUUCAAUAGUGAAAGACGGUUUUGCUGUCACUUAUAGAUGGAUCCGCGCCGCAUUAGCUAGUUGGUAAGGUAACGGCUUACCAAGGCAACGAUGCGUAGCCGACCUGAGAGGGUGAUCGGCCACACUGGAACUGAGACACGGUCCAGACUCCUACGGGAGGCAGCAGGC